UCUGUAGUAGCUACCACCUUUCACAUUCCAACUUAAAAUGCCACCUUGGCUUUUGAGAGAUUUGAGACCACUUAAGGAAAACCAAACUACUCACUUUUCGCUAAACAUUACUCACACCUCAAAUACAACUUAGCAGUUACUAAACACCAAGGUUGGAACAGUGCUUUAGAACAUGGAGUAAAGUCUCCACCUAGUGGUCACUUUGAAAAAACCUACAGCUUUAAAAUCCAAGGUUCAGCUAUACAGUGUUGAGUUAAAUUACAGAAAUCAACAUCAGACCAAAAUAAGGUAGAACAGCUUUUAAUUUUUUGCAAAACAAAGACUUGGAAUACAGACAAGCCUGGACUCAGGCAAAGGAAUCGUACAGUCCUCUCUCCAUGCAGCAUUCAGUGUUGCACAUGAGAACCUUCAAAAACCCUCCAGACCUAAUGGAAUGUAGCAUUCCCGUGUGUACACACCCCCAACAUUUAAAACUCAGUGCAACAGGGUACUCAUUAGACAAAUGUGCUGUCACCAUUAACCGACUGAAUACAGCAACAGAAUCAAAACUGCCUAGUUAAUCUUUAAAAGGGUGUUUUGCAGAAAG